rnacentral:misc_RNA from 1 species
UGGUUCUGGCAUCGAUGAAGAACGCAGCGAAAUGCGAUAAGUAAUGUGAAUUGCAGAAUUCAGUGAAUCAUCGAAUCUUUGAACGCACAUUGCGCCCUCUGGUAUUCCGGGGGGCAUGCCUGUUCGAGCGUCAUUUUCACCCCUCAAGCUCAGCUUGGUAUUGGGUACUCGUCUUCGCCCCCGGGUGAGGACGUACCUCAAAGUUAGCGGCGGUGCAGCCAGACUCUCUAGCGCAGUGACUUUUUACAACGCUACAUAGAGCUCUGGUUGGUUCUGGCCGGACAACAACCAAAUUUUUAUCACGAUUGACCUCGGAUCAGGUAGGGAUACCCGCUGA